CCAGAGAUUUCUCCUCACACCUCUCUUCUACUCUACUCUUCGGCCUUGGAAUGCUGUCCCUAAAUAACUGUGUGACCCUCUAAUAGUCUGUCUACUGAGGCCAGAUUCAGUGUUGUAACACCAGCUGACCUUACUCUAUAGAACUCACCUUUGUCUUGAACUCCUCAUCUUCCUGCUUCUACCCACCCAGAGAUGCCAUUAUAGGGCUUUUCGAAUCAGCAGUGAUAAAAAACGGAGAGGGAGAGGGAGAAGGAGAGAAAAAGAGAGUGGGCGAGGAUGGUCGCAUCUAAAACCCGGACACUUGAAAGGCACUGACAUCCACUAGCCCUUCUAGGACCCUCAGGAGGAGGAGGAUAUUUGUUCAUAGUGACUUUUUGUGUAGAAAUGUCCAUGGGCAAGCUGGAGGGGAUAAGGGUGUGGAGAGAAAUCCAGUAUGUAAAAGAAAGAAGAAAGAACAGCGAAGAAUGGCUUUGUGCCUUCUGUCAGUGUUUGCCUUAAAACAAUGUUUUAUAAAACAUUAAGACGGAAUUGUGGAGCAGCUAUGAACAUCUGGCUGAGUUUCAGCUGUGUAUGGUUGGUGCUUAUUUUAAGAGUUGAAGAAGAAGAAGAAGAACAUUUCCAACAUUCAGGGAUUUGAGUUUACUGUGGGUUUGGUUUCUUCCAGUCACACAUUGAGAUUUCUCUCUCUGUCUCCCUGUGUCUGUCUGUCUGUCUGUCUC